rnacentral:lncRNA from 1 species
GCCAGGGGUGCUGCCUUCAUUUGGAACAGGCUGGAAACCUUGUCACAGGAUCAUCUGAAACUUGAUGGUCUCUAGGAGCUUAGGCAUUGAGAAGCAGAAGCCAGGAAGGUGGUAACAUACCUGUGUUUCCUGGACAGCCCCAUCCCAACAGGAUGGCAGACCUGGAACUUGCUCCUAAUCAAUAGAAUACAGCAAAGGCAUGGGAUGCAGGUGAUUCUGUGUACAUGGUUACGUAACUAAAUAGAUAAGAUUGUAGCACCUGUCUUGCUGGAGUGUUUCACACUCUUGCUGGCUUUGAUGAAGCAGGUGGCCAUUUGAGGCCCAACUGAGAGUGGCCUGUAAAACUGAGGGCAGCUGACAGCCAGCAAGAAAAUGAGCCUUCAGUCCUGUAAAUGCAAGGAACUGAAUUGUGCCAAGAGCUGCAUGAGCUUGGAAGCAGAUCCUUCCUCAGUCAAGCUUCCAGAUGAGGACCCAGUCCUGACCCAUACUUUGAUUGCAGGCUUGCAGAGGGCCCAGCUCAGCCAUUCCAAGAUUCUUGACCCACAGAAGCUGAGAGAAUACAUAUAUGCAUCGCCUGCCUCUGAAUUUGUGAUAAUAUUGUUCUGCAGAUAUCUAUAUCUAGCUAUCAUAAAUGAUGUAUGUAAACAACCACAUAUCACACAUUUGUUUGGCCAAGCAUGGUAUCCCAUCCCUCUGACCACGGUGAUUGGCACAGAUAAGGGCACUUGACAAAGCUAGGCCAAUCAGCCUUCUUCCCUGGGAUUUUGUAAACAAAGGCAGAGAAAAAGGAGCCUUGUCUUUCCUCUCCGCUUGCUCAGAUGGUAUGAAGUAAGUUUAUGGUUGUGAAAUUCAUGUUCUUCUCCUACAGCAUGGAGGAAACGCUACACAGCAGGAAAGAAUAAAACUGGCUCACAAAGAGGAGCCCUGAGACACACUGAAAAAGGCUGGUUGCCAUAAUCUGAGUAGCAGGGACUGCCACACCUGAGGCCAGCCCAGCCCUAGAUAUCCCAGGUACACGAGCCAUUAAAUUCCUCUUUUUGCUUGUCCUGGCUCCCAUUGUGUUCCCCGAGCUCCUGGAGGUCAGAGCAUCUGCCAACUUCCACAUAACGUCCCCAGAUGGCCCAGCUCAGAAAGUUUUUCCAGAAUAAGUAUAGUAAAUGGUGAAUGGAUGUGAGAACCUUACUAUAUGUCAAGGUCCCCAAAGAGCAUUCACUUAUAUGACCUUAUUUGAUCUUUACAAACAAUCCUGCAUAAUCAUUACUGCAUGAGUUAGAUGGUUUUGACCAUUAUUAUUGGGAAAACCCCAAUAAAAUGGCUUAAAUCAUAAGAGGAUUUACGAAUUCAUAUGAGAAUCUCCCCAGGGACAUUCCAGGCUCAUAAGUCCAUUCAGUUUUGCUUUCCUGUGAGUCUUACGGCUCCACACCUCUUGCCAUUGGCUUCAACCUGAGGUCAAUAUAAAGGUGGCAAGCAGCUCUGGGCAUCACAUGCAGACCUAGCAGUGCUCAGGGGAAGAGGAAUAACCAUCUCUUCCUUUCAUGUACUUUCUUCUUUUCAGACAUAUUUUUAAGUGAAAUUAUAUAUCUAUAUGUGUGUAUGUAUAUAUAUAUGUGUAUAUAUAUAUAUAUGUUGGUUUCAUUUUAGUUCUAGAGUCUUUUUUUUUUUUUUGAAAAAUGAUGUUAUUUUGCAGCUUACCCCCCUUGUGUUUCUAUCAGUUUUACAACAUUCUCUAAUUCAGUGGCUCUCAAGUGUGGUCUGGACCAUCAGCAUCACCAUCAUCUGGGAACUUACUUGCUACAAACACUUGAAUGAAUGCCUCCCAACCUGUUGACUCAGAAGCACUGAGAAUGGGCCUGACCAUCUGCAUUUUAGCGGGCCUCUGGGUGAUCCUGAUGUAUGCUCAAGUUUGAGAUCUACUGCUCUAAUUAACUUAUUUAUUUAUAUUUUUUGAGACAGAGCGAGAGCUCUGUUGCCUAGGCUGGAGUGCAGUGGUGUG